rnacentral:rRNA from 1 species
UUGGGGAAUUUUCCGCAAUGGGUGAAAGCCUGACGGAGCAAGACCGCGUGAGGGAGGAAGGCUCUUGGGUUGUAAACCUCUUUUCUCAGGGAAGAAGCUCUGACGGUACCUGAGGAAUCAGCCUCGGCUAACUCCGUGCCAGCAGCCGCGGUAAUACGGAGGAGGCAAGCGUUAUCCGGAAUGAUUGGGCGUAAAGCGUUCGUAGGUGGCAAUUCAAGUCUGCUGUCAAAGACAGUAGCUCAACUACUGCAAGGCAGUGGAAACUGAAUAGCUAGAGUGCGGUAGGGGCAGAGGGAAUUCCCGGUGUAGCGGUGAAAUGCGUAGAGAUCGGGAAGAACACCGGUGGCGAAAGCGCUCUGCUGGGCCGCAACUGACACUGAGGGACGAAAGCUAGGGGAGCGAAUGGGAUUAGAUACCCCAGUAGUC